rnacentral:rRNA from 1 species
UGGGGAAUAUUGGACAAUGGGCGAAAGCCUGAUCCAGCCAUGCCGCGUGAGUGAAGAAGGCCUUCGGGUUGUAAAGCUCUUUCGACGGGGACGAUGAUGACGGUACCCGUAUAAGAAGCCCCGGCAAACUUCGUGCCAGCAGCCGCGGUAAUACGAAGGGGGCUAGCGUUGUUCGGAAUUACUGGGCGUAAAGCGAACGUAGGCGGUGUUCCAUGUCAGAGGUGAAAGCCUGGGGCUCAACUCCAGAAUUGCCUUUGAAACGGGGACGCUUGAGUCCGAGAGAGGAUGGCGGAAUUCCUAGUGUAGAGGUGAAAUUCGUAGAUAUUAGGAAGAACACCAGUGGCGAAGGCGGCCAUCUGGCUCGGUACUGACGCUCAGGUUCGAAAGCGUGGGGAGCAAACAGG